rnacentral:lncRNA from 1 species
CCCAAGCUCAGCAAUGAGAGUGAGAAGUGGGUAUUUGAGGAGGAAAUAUUCACGCGUAUUUCGCGCAGCCGUGCGAUAGAAAUAAAAACAAAAAUAGGAAUCGAUGCAAAUCAAAACAAAAACAAAAAUUUGCAUUCUUUAGUUACUGGCUGUUCAGUGAAUUUGGAAAUUUGAAUCAAAAACGUCAAAAUCGUGGCAUCUGCAGCAUAAAUUCGCUAGUGUAAGUUUAAAUUAGUGGCGGAGAGCUCACACACGUAAACUAGUUAGUUUGAAUACUUAAAAUAUCAUUAAAUGUUAUAAAUCAACCAACUUGAUUCACGCAGGCUGCACUACACGAUUGUUAGAUUUGUAGAAGAAGGAGGCAAAGGUGAUCAUUCGAAAGAUAAUUGGGAAAUCCCAGAUCAAAAAGAUCGAUUAUCGCAGGAAGUGAUCGCGGUUGUAUAGAGAAUAUCGCAAGAGGAGAAGAAAACUAUUUCUUUCUGAGCGUAAAACGACUGCUACAAAAAGGAAGUU